AUAUUGGACAAUGGGCGAAAGCCUGAUCCAGCCAUGCCGCGUGUGUGAAGAAGGUCUUCGGAUUGUAAAGCACUUUAAGUUGGGAGGAAGGGUUGUAGGUUAAUACCCUGCAAUUUUGACGGUACCAACAGAAUAAGCACCGGCUAACUUUGGUCCACCAGCCCCGGUAAUACGAAGGGUGCAAGCGUUAAUCGGAAUUACUGGGCGACAAGCGCGCGUUGGUGGUUCGUUAAGUUGGAAGUGAAAGCCCCGGGCUUAACCUGGGAAUUGCUUUCAAAACUGACGAGCUAGAGUACGGUAGAGGGUAGUGGAAUUUCCUGUGUAGCGGUGAAAUGCGUAGAUAUAGGAAGGAACAUCAGUGGCGAAGGCGACUACCUGGACUGAUACUGACACUGAGGUGCGAAAGCGUGGGGAGCAAACA
rnacentral:rRNA from 1 species